AAAUUGAAGAGUUUGAUCAUGGCUCAGAUUGAACGCUGGCGGCAGGCCUAACACAUGCAAGUCGAACGGUAGCACAGAGAGCUUGCUCUCGGGUGACGAGUGGCGGACGGGUGAGUAAUGUCUGGGAAACUGCCCGAUGGAGGGGGAUAACUACUGGAA
rnacentral:rRNA from 2 species